UAGCGGCGGACGGGUGAGUAAUGCUUAGGAAUCUGCCUAUUAGUGGGGGACAACAUUCCGAAAGGAAUGCUAAUACCGCAUACGCCCUACGGGGGAAAGCAGGGGAUCUUCGGACCUUGCGCUAAUAGAUGAGCCUAAGUCAGAUUAGCUAGUUGGUGGGGUAAAGGCCUACCAAGGCGACGAUCUGUAGCGGGUCUGAGAGGAUGAUCCGCCACACUGGGACUGAGACACGGCCCAGACUCCUACGGGAGGCAGCAGUGGGGAAUAUUGGACAAUGGGCGCAAGCCUGAUCCAGCCAUGCCGCGUGUGUGAAGAAGGCCUUUUGGUUGUAAAGCACUUUAAGCGAGGAGGAGGCUACUGAGAUUAAUACUCUUGGAUAGUGGACGUUACUCGCAGAAUAAGCACCGGCUAACUCUGUGCCAGCAGCCGCGGUAAUACAGAGGGUGCGAGCGUUAAUCGGAUUUACUGGGCGUAAAGCGUGCGUAGGCGGCUUUUUAAGUCGGAUGUGAAAUCCCUGAGCUUAACUUAGGAAUUGCAUUCGAUACUGGGAAGCUAGAGUAUGGGAGAGGAUGGUAGAAUUCCAGGUGUAGCGGUGAAAUGCGUAGAGAUCUGGAGGAAUACCGAUGGCGAAGGCAGCCAUCUGGCCUAAUACUGACGCUGAGGUACGAAAGCAUGGGGAGCAAACAGGAUUAGAUACCCUGGUAGUCCAUGCCGUAAACGAUGUCUACUAGCCGUUGGGGCCUUUGAGGCUUUAGUGGCGCAGCUAACGCGAUAAGUAGACCGCCUGGGGAGUACGGUCGCAAGACUAAAACUCAAAUGAAUUGACGGGGGCCCGCACAAGCGGUGGAGCAUGUGGUUUAAUUCGAUGCAACGCGAAGAACCUUACCUGGUCUUGACAUAGUAAGAACUUUCCAGAGAUGGAUUGGUGCCUUCGGGAACUUACAUACA
rnacentral:rRNA from 1 species